rnacentral:rRNA from 1 species
ACACGACUACAUUAGAUACCCCCGUAGUCCUAGCCGUAAACGAUACUCGCUAGGUGUCGACCACGGUGCGACCGUUGUCGGUGCCGUAGGGAAGCCGUGAAGCGAGCCACCUGGGAAGUACGGCCGCAAGGCUGAAACUUAAAGGAAUUGGCGGGGGAGCACCACAACGGGUGGAGCUUGCGGUUUAAUUGGAUUCAACGCCGGAAAUCUUACCGGGACUGACAGCAACAUGAAGGCCAGGCUGAAGACUUUGCCGGAUUAGCUG